rnacentral:lncRNA from 1 species
ACAUUUAUUGGGUGUCAGUCACGUGUGAGGUCGAGAGCCAGGUCAAGACCUCCCGACCCUCCGAGCUGGGCGUGGGCAAGCCACCUAACCUGUAGACCCUGGUUCAGGCCUCCGUUCCAGGCUGCUGUAGUAGUCAACGCACCUCCAGCCCCAAGACGAGUCUUCUCACAUGAUCCCAGCCCUUUGCCCAGUGGGACAGAGAGAGCAACCAGCCAGACCAAAGAACGCAGGCUCCGAAUUGGACCAAUGACCUCAGUUCUUCCAGUCGACGUGUGUAUAACUUCUCUACCACCAGGUAGAGAGAAAAGCUCACCAGCUGGACGUGAAGAGGAAGCUCACAGCCUCCUCAUGCUCUGGUGGCCAUCUUGGCAUGCCAGAAGCCAGGCUUGGGUGAUGUUGACUUUGAGGAGGAUGGAGAGGCAGGAGGGAGCUAAAUAAACCAGGGACCUCGUGGGCACGAGGCAGACUUUUCUCCACUGUUCAGCUACUGCAGACAAUUAAGUCCCUGUGGUGCUUGAGCCAAUUUGAGCAGAUUUUCUGUUGGGUGCAACAAAGAUACCCCUAACUGCAGCACCCCCGUAGGCUGUGAUACGUCGCCAGUUUGAGCCAGACUUUUUUUUAUGAUUUUAUUGGUUACAGCAGACCAUCCUCAGAUUACUCAGGCCCAUCUGAGUAAUCCAGAAGCAGAGUCCCAAGUCCUUCAAAGUGCUCAAGCCUCGCUCUCCUGGCUCUUUUGCAGCCAACGUGCAUAAAAUGUGUCCCAGGGUCUUGAAAGGUUUGGAUUUGCUAUGGUGUGAAUGUUUGUGUUCUUCCAAAUACUUGUGUGAACAAUCUCACCUGAUAUUAAGGAGCGAGGACUUCGGGAUGAUUAGAUCAUGAGACCAGCGUCCCCAUAAAUGGAAUUGGCAUCUUUAUAAAAUAGACCUGAGAGAUCCCUCAGCCCUUCCACCUCAAGGACAUGCCUAGAAAGUAUCAUCUUUGAACCAUAAACCAGGCCCUCUCCAGACACCAAAUCUGCUAGUGCCUUGAUCUUGGGCUCCCCGUCCUCCAGAAUUGUAAG